CCGGCCGGUCCCGCUCCAUCCACCGACCCUCGGCGCCCCGCGCAGCCCCGGCCGCUCCCGCCACCCGCCGGCAGGGGCCCUCGCCGAGCCGCCCCCCCAAAAAAAAAAUCCUAAGGAAAGGAGGAAAAAAAAAAAAAGGGGGGGGAGCUGAGGAGGGGAGAAAAAAAAAAAGAAGCCUUCUUCGCCCGGCCGCCGGCGCCCUCGCUUCCCCGCCAUCCCCGGGCCCGGGCCGCAGCCCCGCCGAGCGCCAGGCGCGCACCGCCAACUUUGGCGGCGCGGGAGACGGAAUCAUGGCGGCGGGGCGACGGAGACGGCGGCGGCGGCGGCGGCGCCCGCGCUGCCCCGGCCCGGGACAUCCACACACACUCCCACACACACACACACCCUCAGCCGGCUCGCCGCCUCAGGCACCGCGCGACUCGGCCAAGCCAAGCUUGACGUGUUUGUCCCUCAGUCCCGAGUGCCAGGAUACAGGCAUGCACCAAGACACCUGGCCCCAGUAGACACCUUUUCACAAGUGAGUGUAAAUGUCUAGAAUGUCUCCCUAUGAGUGUAAUGGGCAUGUCAGUGAGACUUUUGGGGUUGGAUAGAGAAGGCUAGAGGAGAGAGCAGAGCGCAAUGAGAGAGGAAGUGGACACCAGGAGAGAAGUCUCUGGAUCUGUCGGAACCCUCUCGAGGGCUCAGGUAGCUCUUCUGGGCUUGCUAUGCCAUCCUGCUGUCCUCCGGCAAGUGGAAGGUGGUCUGUCCUUUUUUUUUUGGGGGGGGGUUUGAGACUAGGUUUCUCUGUGUAGCUUUGGAGCCUGUCCUGGAACUCACUCUGUAGCCCAGGCUGGCCUCGAACUCACAGAGAUCCCCCUGGCUCUGCCUCCCGAGUGCUGGGAUUAAAGGUGUGCACCACCACCGCCCAGCCUGUCCUUCCUUUUUAAGUUAAGCAGAGUUACUAUGUAGUCCUAGCUGACCUGGAACUCACUAUACAGACCAGGCUGGCUCUCAACCCAGCUAGGAGGUGUAUGGCACUCAACCCAAACAUUUGCUUCCCAUUUAUUUAUUGUGUAGAUGUGUAGAGGUCACAGGACAACUUCCAGGAGUCCAUUUCCAGAAGUGAACUCAGAUCCUUGGGUUUGGUGGCAAGCCUCUGCACCCAAUGAGCCCUUACUGCCCUUACAGGACGGAGUUCGUUCUUUCUUAAAAGCGUGGAGGCUAGAGGAACAGAAUGGCUCUUACAGAGGUGCUCCUGUGGCUGCUGUGACUCUGGGGCACACCUUACCUUUCCCAGCACCUAGGGAUGCAUCUAUACCACAAUGAAUUGGCACGCUCUUCCCUGGGGAAGACUAUUUCCCACUCGGUGUUCCUUAGUUGCCUGCAGUUCUUCAUAUAGGUUGAGGCUCAUGAGCUUCCCCCUACAAGAUGGAUUUCUAAGGAUUCUCUAGACUCACUGCAUCCAAACCAGACAUAUUUGUUUUAUUUUUUUUUCCUCAAUGAAAACUUCAGCCUUGAAGCUAGAGAUGGCUCAGUGACCCAACAUACCUUCUGCUCUCCCAGAGGACCUGGGUUUAGUUCCCAUCACCCAGCUCACAAAGCUUGCAAUCUGUAGUUCCAGCUCCAGGGGACUGGAUGCCCUCUCUGACCUCAGUGGGCACUGCACUUGUAUGCACAUAGACACCCACAUAUGUACAUAAAGAACAGCCCAAAAAGGCCUUCCUAACACUUGGAACCAUUUCCAGCAUAAGGCAACCCUCGGAACAAUCCAUGGUGCCAACCUAGCACAGGGAAUAGGAAAGAGGACUCAUGGGGGGAAGAAAUGACCAAAAGUGCCAUCUGUCAGAGGUAGGGCAUGCUUCAAGGUCUCUAGAUCACUGGGCAUGGCACAUGCUCAAAGGUGACUGCAGACUGACCUCCUCUCCCUCUCCUUUUUUCUUAAACUUAUUUUUAAUUAAGUAUAUGGUGUGUGUCUGGGUGUACACCAUACACAGUACAGGUACUCAGAGUCCAGAGGCAUUGGAUAUCCUGAAUCUGGAGUUAAAGGCAGUUGUGAGGAACCAGAUGCGGGUGCUGGGAACCCAACUUGGGUCCUCUGGAGGAGCAGCCAGUACUCCUAGCUGGAUUAUCUCUCCACCCCUAGCAGUAAUUUGUGACUCCAGGUUCACAUUGGGAUUUCCUGACUUCCUACAACUAAUUAUCUAAUCAUGGGUCCUCUGGUGACAUACGACUUACAUCAAUUUCUGUGAAACCCAACCUUACCUGGAACCAAAGGUGACCAGGGAUCGGAUAGAGCAUUUCUGUGUCACAUCCAAGUCUACUCUCCAAAGUUCCCCCAGAAGCUACUGCAGAAAGUGGAAUGUCAGUAUGGUCAGGGGACAAGAGUCUGGCGGCAGGAGUCUGAAGAGAAGCCACUGUGUGUUCUCACCUCCUUGUCUACCCUGAGGAGGGGUUGGAGGACAACUCCAUGAGAAAAGCAAGCUGGAAAAGGUGCUUGCGUGCAAGGUUGAGGGCCAGUAUUUGAAUCCCCAGGGUCUUAAAAAAAAUGCUGUGUGGGUGACAACUCACCUGUAGCCCUAGCACAUGGGGGGUAGAGGGGACCUCAGGGCCAGCUGGGUUGGGUGAGGAACCCUGCCUCCAUACAUAGGUGGAGAGUAAUGGAGAAAAACACCCAUUGUUAACUUCUGACUCCCAUAACACCCCCCACCAUGUGUCCAAAUGGGAAUGUACACACACACUCCCAACCAAAAAAUAAAUUCAACAUUCAAGACUAA